CUGUAAGCCUGUGAAGGUGUACUGUGAGGUAUGCUGGAGGUAUCAGAAGUGCGAAUGCUGACAUAAGUAACGAUAAAGCGGGUGAAAAGCCCGCUCGCCGGAAGACCAAGGGUUCCUGUCCAACGUUAAUCGGGGCAGGGUGAGUCGACCCCUAAGGCGAGGCCGAAAGGCGUAGUCGAUGGGAAACAGGUUAAUAUUCCUGUACUUGGUGUUACUGCGAAGGGGGGACGGAGAAGGCUAUGUUGGCCGGGCGACGGUUGUCCCGGUUUAAGCGUGUAGGCUGGUUUUCCAGGCAAAUCCGGAAAAUCAAGGCUGAGGCGUGAUGACGAGGCACUACGGUGCUGAAGCAACAAAUGCCCUGCUUCCAGGAAAAGCCUCUAAGCAUCAGGUAACAUCAAAUCGUACCCCAAACCGACAC
rnacentral:rRNA from 1 species